GAUGAACGCUGGCGGCGUGCCUAAUACAUGCAAGUCGAGCGAACAGAUGAGGAGCUUGCUCCUCUGACGUUAGCGGCGGACGGGUGAGUAACACGUGGAUAACCUACCUAUAAGACUGGGAUAACUUCGGGAAACCGGAGCUAAUACCGGAUAAUAUAUUGAACCGCAUGGUUCAAUAGUGAAAGACGGUUUUGCUGUCACUUAUAGAUGGAUCCGCGCCGCAUUAGCUAGUUGGUAAGGUAACGGCUUACCAAGGCAACGAUGCGUAGCCGACCUGAGAGGGGGAUCGGCCACACUGGAACUGAGACACGGUCCAGACUCCAACGGGAGGCAGCAGUAGGGAAUCUUCCGCAAUGGGAGAAAGCCUGACGGAGCAACGCCGCGUGAGUGAUGAAGGUCUUCGGAUCGUAAAACUCUGUUAUUGGGGAAGAACAAAUGUGUAAGUAACUAUGCACGUCUUGACGGUACCUAAUCAGAAAGCCACGGCUAACUACGUG
rnacentral:rRNA from 1 species